rnacentral:lncRNA from 1 species
UACUUAGGCCAGGAUUUUUUAAUUUGUUGGUUUACGGAUCCGCCGACCCGAUUUUGCCGAUUCCUAGAAUAAAAAUAAAAUUGACUUUUCAUGCUUUUUUAUUCCCGCCGACCCAAACAAAUACAUUAUCCAUGAAAAAUAAUUAAAUGAUUCUUUUUUUAUGAAAUGAAAUGCAUGAAUCACUAACAAAAUUGAUAACACUCUCUGUUGUGAAAAAAUAAAACUUCCAGUUUACGUUUCUAAAAAUAGACAAAUCAAUUAUAACUGACUUGAAAUGUCGUUUACGCAAAUAAUUUUGCGGAACGAAAUCUGUGUUUAAAACCCAUUACACAAUAAGUUCGUUUCCCUUAUUUGUCAUCAGUCUGUAAGAUGCAUAAUCUCAUAAAAAUAGACUUGUCCACAUGGUCCAAAUGUGGACAGGUGGAAAGCACCUUGGAAGUAAAAGUUCUGAAUAUCAACAAGUCAUUUAGAAUUUUCUUGUUUCAUGGAUAAUAAAAAAAAUAUCGUCCAUUUGGAUAAGAAACGGGAAUGCAUGACACUAGAUUAUAAACCCGAUAUUCUCGUUUUUUCCGUGGACGAGUCUA